CAGCCGCCGCGGUAAUUCGUAGGGGGCGAGCGUUGUCCGGAAUUAUUGGGCGUAAAGCGCGCGCAGGCGGUCCUUUAAGUCUGAUGUGAAAGCCCACGGCUCAACCGUGGAGGGUCAUUGGAAACUGGGGGACUUGAGUGCAGGAGAGGAGAGCGGAAUUCCACGUGUAGCGGUGAAAUGCGUAGAGAUGUGGAGGAACACCAGUGGCGAAGGCGGCUCUCUGGCCUGUAACUGACGCUGAGGCGCGAAAGCGUGGGGAGCAAACAGGAUUAGAUACCCUGGUAGUCCACGCCGUAAACGAUGAGUGAUAAGGGUUAGAGGGGUCACACCCUUUAGUGCUGCAGCUAACGCGAUAAGCACUCCGCCUGGGGAGUACGGCCGCAAGGCUGAAACUUAAAGGAAUUGGCGGG
rnacentral:rRNA from 1 species